rnacentral:rRNA from 1 species
UACGUAGGGUGCGAGCGUUAAUCGGGAUUACUGGGCGUAAAGCGUGCGCAGGCGGUUUUGUAAGCCAGAUGUGAAAUCCCCGGGCUUAACCUGGGAAUGGCAUUUGGGACUGCAAGGCUUGAGUGCGGCAGAGGAGACUGGAAUUCCUGGUGUAGCGGUGAAAUGCGCAGAUAUCAGGAGGAACACCGGUGGCGAAGGCGGGUCUCUGGGCCGGAACUGACGCUGAGGAGCGAAAGCCAGGGGAGCGAACGGG